rnacentral:rRNA from 1 species
GACGAACCGUGCGAACGUUAUUCGGAAUCACUGGGCUUAAAGCGCGUGUAGGCGGGUCGGCACGUCGGAUGCUGAAAGCCCCCGGCUCAACCGGGGAACUGGCGGCGAUACGACCGACCUGGAGGGGCGUAGGGGGACCUGGAACUUCCGGUGGAGCGGUGAAAUGCGUUGAGAUCGGAAGGAACGCCCGUGGCGAAAGCGAGGUCCUGGACGCCAACUGACGCUGAGACGCGAAAGCCAGGGGAGCAAACGGG